UACGUAGGGGGCUAGCGUUGUCCGGAUUUAUUGGGCGUAAAGAGCGUGUAGGCGGCCAGGUAGGUCUGCUGUGAAAACUCGAGGCUCAACCUCGAGACGUCGGCGGAAACCAUCUGGCUAGAGUCCGGAAGAGGAGAGUGGAAUUCCUGGUGUAGCGGUGAAAUGCGCAGAGAUCAGGAGGAACACCCAUGGCGAAGGCAGCUCUCUGGUCGACCUCUGACGCUGAGACGCGAAAGCGUGGGGAGCGAACGGG
rnacentral:rRNA from 1 species